AUUGAACGCUGGCGGCAGGCCUAACACAUGCAAGUCGAACGGUAACAGAAAGCAGCUUGCUGCUUUGCUGACGAGUGGCGGACGGGUGAGUAAUGUCUGGGAAACUGCCUGAUGGAGGGGGAUAACUACUGGAAACGGUAGCUAAUACCGCAUAACGUCGCAAGACCAAAGAGGGGGACCUUCGGGCCUCUUGCCAUCGGAUGUGCCCAGAUGGGGUUAGCUAGUAGGUGGGGUAACGGCUCACCUAGGCGACGAUCCCUAGCUGGUCUGAGAGGAUGACCAGCCACACUGGAACUGAGACACGGUCCAGACUCCUACGGGAGGCAGCAGUGGGGAAUAUUGCACAAUGGGCGCAAGCCUGAUGCAGCCAUGCCGCGUGUAUGAAGAAGGCCUUCGGGUUGUAAAGUACUUUCAGCGGGGAGGAAGGGAGUAAAGUUAAUACCUUGGCUCAUUGACGUUACCCGCAGAAGAAGCACCGGCUAACUCCGUG
rnacentral:rRNA from 1 species